rnacentral:rRNA from 1 species
GACGAACGCUGGCGGCGUGCUUAACACAUGCAAGUCGAACGAUGAAGCUGGAGCUUGCUCCAGUGGAUUAGUGGCGAACGGGUGAGUAACACGUGAGCAAUCUGCCCUUGACUCUGGGAUAACUGCGGGAAACUGUAGCUAAUACCGGAUACGACACCUUGGGGCAUCCCGAGGUGUGGAAAGAAUUUCGGUCAAGGAUGAGCUCGCGGCCUAUCAGCUUGUUGGUGAGGUAAAAGCUCACCAAGGCGACGACGGGUAGCCGGCCUGAGAGGGUGACCGGCCACACUGGAACUGAGAUACGGUCCAGACUCCUACGGGAGGCAGCAGUGGGGAAUAUUGCACAAUGGGCGCAAGCCUGAUGCAGCAACGCCGCGUGAG